UACAUGCAAGUCGAGCGGAUCGAUGGGAGCUUGCUCCCUGAGAUCAGCGGCGGACGGGUGAGUAACACGUGGGUAACCUGCCUGUAAGACUGGGAUAACUCCGGGAAACCGGGGCUAAUACCGGAUAACACCUACCCCCGCAUGGGGGAAGGUUGAAAGGUGGCUUCGGCUAUCACUUACAGAUGGACCCGCGGCGCAUUAGCUAGUUGGUGAGGUAAUGGCUCACCAAGGCGACGAUGCGUAGCCGACCUGAGAGGGUGAUCGGCCACACUGGGACUGAGACACGGCCCAGACUCCUACGGGAGGCAGCAGUAGGGAAUCUUCCGCAAUGGACGAAAGUCUGACGGAGCAACGCCGCGUGAGUGAAGAAGGUUUUCGGAUCGUAAAACUCUGUUGUUAGGGAAGAACAAGUGCCGUUCGAAUAGGGCGGCGCCUUGACGGUACCUAACCAGAAAGCCACGGCUAACUACGUGCCAGCAGCCGCGGUAAUACGUAGGUGGCAAGCGUUGUCCGGAAUUAUUGGGCGUAAAGCGCGCGCAGGUGGUUUCUUAAGUCUGAUGUGAAAGCCCACGGCUCAACCGUGGAGGGUCAUUGGAAACUGGGGAACUUGAGUGCAGAAGAGGAAGUGGAAUUCCAAGUGUAGCGGUGAAAUGCGUAGAUAUUUGGAGGAACACCAGUGGCGAAGCGACUUUCUGGUCUGUAACUGACACUGAGCGCGAAACCUGGGAGCAACCGAUUAGAUACCUGGUAGUCCACGCCGUAACGAUGAGUGCUAGUGUUAGAGGGUUUCCGCCCUUUAGUGCUGC
rnacentral:rRNA from 1 species